GGACCCGCACAAGCGGUGGAGCAUGUGGUUUAAUUCGAUGCAACGCGAAGAACCUUACCCGGUCUUGACAUCCACAGAACUUUCCAGAGAUGGAUUGGUGCCUUCGGGAGCUGUGAGACAGGUGCUGCAUGGCUGUCGUCAGCUCGUGUUGUGAAAUGUUGGGUUAAGUCCCGCAACGAGCGCAACCCUUAUUGAUAGUUGCUAACGCGUUAUGGUGAGCACUCUAUUGAGACUGCCGGUGAUAAACCGGAGGAAGGUGGGGACGACGUCAAGUCAUCAUGGCCCUUACGACCGGGGCUACACACGUGCUACAAUGGGCAUUACAGAGGGAUGCGAAGCUGCGAGGUGGAGCGAAACCCAGAAAGGUGUUCAUAGUCCGGAUUGCAGUCUGCAACUCGACUGCAUG
rnacentral:rRNA from 1 species